rnacentral:lncRNA from 1 species
AAAAAUAAAACUAAAUUAGAGAAUUAAUUAUUCAAAACUUGAAUCACAUAAUCUAUUCAUUAAGUAGAUCUCAUGAAAUCUAACCUUGGUUGAUGGACCCUUGUUCACCACAACCAAGAUUUUCACCGGCACCGAAACUGUCACAAUGAUAGUGCGUCUUCCCACUAGUUAAGCUACCAUCAACCCUUCUUCCUCUUUAAAUAUUUUUUCGUUUAAAUGGUAACUUUUUUUUUUUUUUCCUUUUAUAUUUCUUUUCCUUCUUUAUUAUUCAUCAUCCUAAUUGGCUCAUCACAAUUCAUAUCUGGCACAUAUAAAUUGUCCUUAUCCUUUGACUAAAUUUUGACCGCCCACUUGGCAAUGUUUGAAUGACAUGUCACACAUGCACAGUGGCAGACCUAGUUGUAUGCCUGGGUGGGACCCACCCUUAUACACACACUUUAUAUUUAUUUCAAUAUAUAUAUAUAUAUGAUAAUUUG